ensembl:lncRNA
CAAACUUGAGAUAUACUUUCCCCUUGCUACACUAAAGUUGGACCAGUCCCAGACUCCUGUGACUGCCUGGACAACAGAAAUUUUGGCUGGGGUGUUUGGUACUUCUGGGAAGAAGAGGGGACAGCAGGAGAGAGUGGGUAAAGGACUGUAUAUGUUAUAGAUACUUGUUGUAAGGGAACAGGUUAGAGCUGCUCAGACCAAGAACUAUUCAUUCAUCCAUUUACUCAACAAGCAUAUGAGGAGCUGCUAUAAAAUGCUAGGCCCUGUGCUGGGUGCUGAGGAUACCAACGUGAAUAAGACAUAGUCUUUGCUCUCAAGCAACUCAUCAUUUAGUGGUGGAGACAAGCAGGUCAGCAGGAAAUUGUGUGAUUUGUCCCAGGGUAGAGUGCAGUGUUUCCAGAUCUCAGACAGAUAAGUAUAACCUUCAUGAAUUUUUCUCUAUUUGUGUAAGUGCUAUAUACUAUUUAUAAAAAAACACCAUUUUUAAGAUUAAAUAUACUUCUUUAAAAAAAACUGUUUGGGGACUUCCCUGGUAACCCAGUGGUUAAGAAUCCAUCUGCCAAUGCAGGGGACAUGGGUUCAAUCCCUGAUCCGGGGCGAUCCCACAUACUAUGGGGCAACUAAGCCUGUGCGCCACAACAAGAGAAGCUACCACAAUUAGAAGCCCACCCACUGGAACUAGAGAGUAGCCCCCACUUGCUGAAAUUAGAGAAAUCCUGUGUGCAGCAACCAAGAGCAAGGACGGCUGAAAAAUAAUUAAUCAAAAAAGAAAACAUUUUACCACUGUUAUAAGUGGAAAAUAGAAUUUUUCUAAUAUACAUUAAAAUAUCCAACUAUGAAAAAAUGCUUGGCUGUGCAUUACCUAAAAUAAUGGCCUACACCAUAUUUUGGAAACAGUUAACAAAGUGAAUAAUCUCUGUAGGAUGCUAUGCUUGAAGCUGGAGUAGAAAUUUUCUUUAAGCAUGGUCUAAUCAAUCUCUUCAAAGAGUCAGAGAUAAAAUUACCCCAAAUAAUUAUAGACACAAAGUGGGAAAUAAUAAGUAUCAUAAGAGGUAUGCAUGAAGUACCAGUCACAUGAGGGAGUUCUGUGAAAUCUUCCUGGAGGUUGAAGCUUUUAAACUGGUUUAAAGGAUGGAUAAAAUAUGUAUCUCCCAGAUAUGAUGGAAGAGCAUUUCAGGAGGAGGGAACGUUGUGCCAAAGGCAAGAAGAUGGGAAAGUUUUUAAUUCUGUUUCCCCAGAGCCUAGGAUUUUGAAGUACUGAAGUGGAUAAAUAAAGAAGGAGAGGUAGAUUCCUGUCACUCUUGAACUCAGUUAAUUCCAGGGCCUGCAACUAAAGGACAGGAAGUGUGUGGAUUAGUGUUAUAAUAAGUGAAGGUGAGAGUGGGUCUGUGAUUUGUUUCAGUGAAUUACAUACACCUCAGAUACUUACAUCAAAUUUUCUGUAUACAUCUUCUCAAGUUAUAGCUCAUUUGCCCAAGUAACCCCACUGCUACAAUUCUGACCUCAUGAAUCCUCCAAUUCACUACUCUCCAGUUCUCCAGAUAUACUUUCUCUCUUUUUAUCAGUUUUCUCCAAUCUUUGCUUGUUCUCUUUUCCACUUACAUUUCUGAAUUUAUUAUCAUUAUCAUUCUUGUGAAUAUCUUUAUCUCACUAGGCAAUACUCCAGAGUACUCUCUACCCCACCCAGAGGAAUCCAAACAUCUUUUUCAUACUUUCACCUCUGUAGCUCAAGAUUGUUGGUGGCAAUCACACAGGUGGGUGGGUUAACGAUCAAGUUUGACCAGGCCCUCAAAUGUGCUGGAAAUCCUCUUUUUCUCUCUGAUUGCUCUGCUCUCUGAAACAACUAUUUCUUACCUUAUUCACGUUCUUCAGAUCUCUCCCUCCUACUAUCUGCUGUUGACUUUGUCUCAUACUUUAUUGCAAAAACACAUGCCCAUCAGAUAAAAACUUCCUCAUCUUCCUGUGGAUUUUUAAAAAUGGAAAUAGCUUUUCUUUUUUUCCCCUAAUGAUAAAAAUGUGUUUAUUGUAGGACACUUAAAAACUGAAAGAUAUAAAGAAUCCCAAAUCCCAACACUCAAAGAUAAACAUUAAUAUUUUGGUAAAUAUUCUUUCACACAUUUUUGUUAAAAUAUGCAUACAUAAGUGUUUAUCUUUCUGUGAACUGUUUUCUUUUUUCAGUUUAUGUAUUAGUGGGAUUGGUUGGUCCCUGUAGCCAUGUAUGUUGUUUCCAUUCAUACUCAGACAGAAUCAGACAGAAACCAUCCCAAUAGUUUAUUAUUUUAAAAAAUAUUUAUUUAUUUUUAUUUAAGGCUUCCCUUGUGGCUCAGCUGGUAAAGAACCCACCUGGCAAUGUAGGAGAUGCCCAAGACCUGGGUUCGAUCCCUGGGUUGGGAAGAUUCCCUGGUGGAGGGCACGGCAGCCCAUUCUAGUAUUCUUGCCUGGAGAAUCCCAUGGACAGAGGAGCCUGGCGGGCUACAGUCCACGGGGUCACAAAAAGUUGGACGUGAUUUAGCAGCUACACACACAUAUACUUGAUUUAUAAUUGUGUUAGUUUCAGGUGUCCAGCAUAGUGAUUCAGCUUUGUUACAGAUUCUUUUCCAUUUAUAGGUUAUUGCAAGACAUUGGGUAUAAUUCCCUGUGCUAUACAGUAAAUCUUUGUUGCAUAUCUAUAGUAUGUAUAGUUUUUUUUUUUUUUUUUUUUUUUUGCCACACCACACAGCUUGUGGGAUCUUAGUUCUCCAACUAGUGAUAGAACCUGGGGCCACUGCAAUGAAAGUGCUGAGUCCUAACUACUGGACUACCAGGGAACUCCCUGUAUAAUAGUUUUUGUAGUUAUUCAAAUCUAUAAAAUUACACCUUUUUGAGCAGUUAGUAACUUCUUUCUUUUUAAAAUUCAAUGGUAGGAUACAGACAUUUCCCAUCUUAUACAUUUAGGUUGUUUUCUCAGCAGUGUCUCUAAAGGCUGUAUAAGUAUUCCACUAUAUGGUAUUAAUGUACACUAGGCUGUAUAAAUAGUCUAGAUUCAAUUAGGUGAACAUUUAAGAGAUUUACAAUGUGUCAGUGAACAUUUCUGUUAAUCUAUCUUUGCAGAAUUUUCCAAUUUCUUUAGGAAAAUUCCUAGAAGAGGAAUUGUUGUGAAACAGGGUAUAUACAUUCUAAGAUUUAAAGAUAUAUUAUUCAUUUAUUUAUUUGGCUGUACUGGGUCUUAGUUGUGGCAUAUGGGAUCUUAGUUCUCCAACCAGGGAUUGAACCUGAGACCCCCAGAAUUGGGAACAUGGGAGUCUCAGCCACUGGACCACCAGGGAAGCCCCCACUUUUAAGAUUUUGAUACCCGUUUAUACUCCUAUGAAGAGUGCACAAGAGUGGGUCUUUUGUACAUCUUAUCAGUUUGAAGUUUUGUUAAUCUUUUUAACCUUUGCCAAUCUGAUAAAUGAAAAAAAAUUCACUUGCUUUAUUUGGAUUUCUUUGAUUACUGGUGAGGCUGAAUAUCUCUUCAUGUGUUUAUUGGCUAUUUAUAUUUCUUCCUGUGCAAACUGUCUGAUCACAUCCUUUGGUGAUUUAUGUGCUAGAACAUUUUUUUUUUAACUUUAAGAGCACUUAUGUUAGAUAUGUUAACUAUUUAUCUAUUAUAUACGUUGGAAGUAUCUUUUUCUAAUCUUUGGUUUGUCUUUCAACCUUGCUUAUAGUACCAUUAGGAAGAUUUUAAUCUUUAUGUGGUAAAACUUAUUAUUUUUCCAUUUUGAUUCUGGUUUCAGAUCAUGUUUAAAUCUUGCUGUGUUUUUAAAAUAUUCACUCAAACUUCCUUUAGAAGUUUUAUGAUUCAAUUUAGUCUUUGAUUAAUUCAGAAUUCAUUUUGAUAUAUGAAGUAAGUCAGGGAUUUGGUUUUAUUAUAUUUUUUAAAUGGCUAUUGCACUUCAGUACUUUUUCCUGACUCUUUUCUCCACUGAUUUGAAUCC